UUAAAGGAAUUGACGGGGCCGCACAAGCGGUGGAGCAUGUGGUUUAAUUCGAUGCAACGCGAAGAACCUUACCUGGGCUUGACAUCCCGGGAAUCCCUUGGAAACAAGGGAGUGCCCUUCGGGAACCUGGAGACAGGUGCUGCAUGGCUGUCGUCAGCUCGUGUCGUGAGAUGUAGGGUUAAGUCCCGCAACGAGCGCAACCCUUGUCUUUAAUUGCCAUCAUUGAGUUGGGCACUUUAAAGAGACUGCCGGUGUUAAACCGGAGGAAGGUAGGGAUGACGUCAAGUCCUCAUGGCCUUUAUGCCCAGGGCUACACACGUGCUACAAUGGGUGGUACAAAGGGCAGCCACUUAGCGAUAAGGAGCCAAUCCCGUAAAGCCGGUCUCAGUCCGGAUUGGAGUCUGCAACUCGACUCCAUGAAGUUGGAAUCGCUAGUAAUCGCAGAUCAGCACGCUGCGGUGAAUACGUUCCCGGGCCUU
rnacentral:rRNA from 1 species